AACGAACGCUGGCGGCGUGGAUAAGACAUGCAAGUCGGACGCUGAUUGCCGGGUAGCAAUAUUCGGCGGUCGGAGUGGCGAAAGGGUGCGUAACACGUGGGCAAUCUGCCGUGAAGUCGGGGAUAACUUGCUGAAAGGCGAGCUAAUACCGGAUGUGGUUUUGGGAGGGCAUCUUUCUGGAACCAAAGUUGGGGACCGCAAGGCCUGACGCUUCAUGAUGAGCCCGCGGCCUAUCAGCUAGUUGGUGAGGUAAUGGCUCACCAAGGCAAAGACGGGUAGCUGGUCUGAGAGGACGACCAGCCACACUGGAACUGAGACACGGUCCAGACACCUACGGGUGGCAGCAGUCGAGAAUUUUUCACAAUGGGCGAAAGCCUGAUGGAGCGACGCCGCGUGGGGGAUGAAUGGCUUCGGCCCGUAAACCCCUGUCAUUUGCGAACAAACCUUCCACCCACACGUGGAGAGCUGAUUGUAGCGAAAGAGGAAGGGACGGCUAACU
rnacentral:rRNA from 1 species